GCCAUCGAUAGCGUGAGUAAAUCAUACAGUAAUAGGUCACUCAAGGUAACUGUCGGAAAGAAAAAAAAAUGGAGAGAUUGAAAUUUGGAGAGAUUAUUGUAUUCAAUUUGAGGGCAUUUUCAUCUCAUGAGGAACUUCAAGUUAAAAUGCUAUUUUUAGUGGAUCAGGAAUUAUAAGUUGGGUCAACAGGAUUUAAAAAUUGAACUCUAAUCAACAA
rnacentral:lncRNA from 1 species